GCGCCCCGCAAGGGGAGCGGCAGACGGGUGAGUAACGCGUGGGAAUCUACCCUUUUCUACGGAAUAACGCAGGGAAACUUGUGCUAAUACCGUAUACGCCCUUCGGGGGAAAGAUUUAUCGGGAAAGGAUGAGCCCGCGUUGGAUUAGCUAGUUGGUGGGGUAAAGGCCUACCAAGGCGACGAUCCAUAGCUGGUCUGAGAGGAUGAUCAGCCACAUUGGGACUGAGACACGGCCCAAACUCCUACGGGAGGCAGCAGUGGGGAAUAUUGGACAAUGGGCGCAAGCCUGAUCCAGCCAUGCCGCGUGAGUGAUGAAGGCCCUAGGGUUGUAAAGCUCUUUCACCGGUGAAGAUAAUGACGGUAACCGGAGAAGAAGCCCCGGCUAACUUCGUGCCAGCAGCCGCGGUAAUACGAAGGGGGCUAGCGUUGUUCGGAAUUACUGGGCGUAAAGCGCACGUAGGCGGACAUUUAAGUCAGGGGUGAAAUCCCAGAGCUCAACUCUGGAACUGCCUUUGAUACUGGGUGUCUAGAGUAUGGAAGAGGUGAGUGGAAUUCCGAGUGUAGAGGUGAAAUUCGUAGAUAUUCGGAGGAACACCAGUGGCGAAGGCGGCUCACUGGUCCAUUACUGAC
rnacentral:rRNA from 1 species